AGGAAUUUAGGUUAAACCAGACCAAGAGCCUUCAAAGCUCUAAGUAAGUAGCUANUACUUAAUUCCUG
rnacentral:tRNA from 1 species